rnacentral:lncRNA from 1 species
UGAGCGAGCAGAAUCUAACUAGAGUCUGACAUCAGUGUCUGAGCUGCAGUCACAGUUGUGACAACAUGUGAAUCAAUAUGCAUCAUUUCAGUGCGUUACUUCCUGGAUCAGGAUGAAAUAGUACAUCAUGUACAUAUCUCCGCUCACUUUGCAGCCUGACAGCAGCACGAGGCAGUGUACACGGUAUAGUUCAUCCUCACAUCCUCAAUAUUUGCCUGUUUGAACAACAUUUCCUGCAGCUUUGUAAAUCUGUCAACCUCAUCACCGCCACCUUUUUGCUUUAGUCUUAAACUUAAGAUUGUAAACACACAAUGCAUAGAAUAGCCUGAUGGAAAACACCUGUUCAUGAGCAGGUGAGUGUUCAUGACGUUCCAUCAUGAGGGAAUGUGUUUUCAUUCACAAAACUUUACAUCACAGAGCUUCAAGUCCUUCUGUCAAAAAACCAGCAGAGACAAAGAUAACACGUUUAGCAGUCAGUCGUCGUAUUAAAGUAAAACAAUGACAAUAUGAAUAAUAAUAGAGCUGUCACCCGAGCAACACUGUGAAGUAAAGAGGGGAUGGUGUUACAUGAAGUCAGAUGCUAAAACACGUUGAUGACUAACAUGAGAGGCGAUCGAUCACAUGCAAUAAUAAAGACAGGCGUCAUGUAUUUACAUGUGUGAUGAAUCAUGACUCAAUGAUUUGUGUUGAUAAAAGGAUCACGCUAGUUUGUUAUUAGCCUCGUCAGACCACGGUAUGCCGUGUUUGCACAUCCAGAGACCAGUGGAACUGUUUUCUGCAUCUCUUUUCAUCCACCCGGUCACUCUUCCUUUGUUUGCUGGUGGAAGUUUUCAAUUACACACGCCUACAAGUACGCACGGAUGCGACAGACCGAGUGCCAUGGCAACCAUCAACAGGCCUGACACUGCUCAGCUGUCACCGCCUCCACCUCCCCCUCCCCCUCCCCCUCAACGCCUCAUCAGCAGACUGUUAAAUGUGAUGGGUAACAGUGCUGCGUUCAAGCCGUGUGAGGAAAAAGUGGUGUAGAGAAGCUGCAGCCUGUGUCAAGUUCUUCCUUCAGACGGAGCAACAUAAGCAGAUGAUGUAAGAUGGGAGUAACGCUCGACUGCUCUUGAGGGCUGAAGGCAGAGCCAGGUGUCUUUACAGUAACUGCUCAUCAUAUUUGACAGUUUCAAAUAUCUUUAAAAAUGACAAUAGUAUUUUUGAC